UGUAAUUUGCAGAGGAUGCUUCGGGAGCGGCCCCCAUCUAAGUGCCCUGGAACGGGCCGUCAUAGAGGGUGAGAAUCCCGUCUGGGAUGGGGUGCCCGCGCCCGUGUGAAGCUCCUUCGACGAGUCGAGUUGUUUGGGAAUGCAGCUCUAAAUGGGUGGUAAAUUUCAUCUAAAGCUAAAUACUGGCCGGAGACCGAUAGCGCACAAGUAGAGUGAUCGAAAGAUGAAAAGCACUUUGAAAAGAGAGUUAAACAGCACGUGAAAUUGUUGAAAGGGAAGCGCUUGCGACCAGACUCGCCCGCAGGGUUCAGCCGGCAUUCGUGCCGGUGUACUUCCCCGCGGGCGGGCCAGCGUCGGUUUGGGCGGCCGGUCAAAGGCCCUCGGAAUGUAACGCCCCCCGGGGCGUCUUAUAGCCGAGGGUGCCAUGCGGCCAGCCCGGACCGAGGAACGCGCUUCGGCUCGGACGCUGGCAUAAUGGUCGUAAGCGACCCGUCUUGAAACACGGACCAAGGAGUCUAACAUCUACGCGAGUGUUCGGGUGUCAAACCCGUGCGCGCAGUGAAAGCGAACGGAGGUGGGAACCCCCCGGGGUGCACCAUCGACCGAUCCUGAUGUCUUCGGAUGGAUUUGAGUAAGAGCGUAGCUGUUGGGACCCGAAAGAUGGUGAACUAUGCCUGAAUAGGGCGAAGCCAGAGGAAACUCUGGUG
rnacentral:rRNA from 1 species